CUGGCGAGCAGAGCCAAGGGGAGUCUCAGGUGUAAGGGGAGUUUUGCAGUGAUGGCGCCUCUGGUCUUGGUUGGGCGCCAAACCGCCAGACGGACUAUUCCUGAUGCCCCCAGCAAGUACAGAGGGCCUCUGACUUAGGAUGGUUUGACGUCAUUUUUCGGCUUUGCAAUGGUGCGACAGCAUAUGCAUUCAGUAGAAACUGUACUUCAAAUUUUGAAUUUUGAUCUUUCCCCUGGCUAGGCGAUAUGCGGUUGGAUGCUUUCUCGGGAUGCUGGCAGCGGCAGCGAGCGUGGGAUCCCAGUCGGCCACUCGAUGGAGGACAUCCUGUGUUUUUGUUCUGCUGGGCUCCUACAGCUUCUUCAUUGUACUCCAGAGCUCCCCAGAGCUAUAUUUUUUGCUACCAUUUUCCUGAAGCUCUGCAAACUGAAGCUGAACAACUUGAUAUAAACUUAAGAGAAAUCACCACAAUAGCCCAUAUUUAGACAAUCUUUGUGCCUGUUGCUGUGUAAGCCACUCGGAAAGUUUACCUGAACACCUGAUGACAUCAUCAGAGACAUUUCAAACUGCAAAAGAUGCUUCAACCCUAACAACUAGAAAACUGGCUGCCUUCAGAACUCAGAAACUUAGACUAUAGUCAUCUCCAAUCAUUAGCCAUUGUUUUUCUUUUGUUUCCAUAGGAAUGCGUCUUAUUAAAUACCUGAUUGCUUGUACCAUAGGCCUAAUUUUGGGAGCCCACCUGCAUCACCACCUCUAAAAUGAGACACAAACUUUAACUUAACUGAUCUAACCUCAGGACUAAGAAACUGGUUCAACGAGAUAUGGAGCAAUCUAGCAACUCAGGACAGGUUCAAACCUACUUACACCAGAUGGCCCAAGAUGCUAAAAUAUUUCCCAGUAUUACGCAAAUCUUUGAACAGAUUCCUAGGGCCCCCAAGAUCGCUGACUUAGCUUCAUUGAAGGAUCCUUUCAAGUUUGGGACAAUAGCUAACGACUAGAUUUCAGACUAUUGCCUGUAUAAUUAUAGGAUUUGCUUCUGUAAUCCUAUUUAGAUGUGUACUUUCUGGGUUACCGUGUGCCCUAUUCUUGACCUUUAACAGAUCAGCUACCCAGCAGUUAGUGUCCUCCGUUGACUCUGCCGCCUCCACAUCACAGGGUCGAUUGUAGCGGCAGCCUUGGUUCUCCUUUUUGUAAUGCAAGUGCCUGACUUAAGGUUUGAUUGCUGAGGCAUUCAUUUCAAAGGGGCGUCCACGGCAAAGAGGGCUAUCUUGAAUAAACACAUUGCCAGCCACAGGACUAGAUAAAGAACCAGGCCGCCUCCCCACACUGAGGCGCCUUUGUUUUAGAGAUCUUGAUUGAUUUCAAUAACUGACCACUUGGACUAUUUUUUUUCUUCUCAUGCUUUAAAUUACUGCUCUUACGUUUUAAAUUCACCAAUGAAGAGUGAGCCUGUAAAACUACUACGCCCCCACCCUUGACCCUAUUAAAAGCAGAACCUCAGGCUCACAUGCUCUCUCUCUCUCUCCCCCCAUGACCUCACUGUGUGGCCCUAUGUGUGCUGUGUAAUUUCUAGGUCUUACAACUA